UGGGGAAUUUUGGACAAUGGGCGCAAGCCUGAUCCAGCCAUGCCGCGUGCGGGAAGAAGGCCUUCGGGUUGUAAACCGCUUUUGUCAGGGAAGAAAUCUUCUGAGUUAAUACCUCGGGAGGAUGACGGUACCUGAAGAAUAAGCACCGGCUAACUACGUGCCAGCAGCCGCGGUAAUACGUAGGGUGCAAGCGUUAAUCGGAAUUACUGGGCGUAAAGCGUGCGCAGGCGGUUUUGUAAGACAGAGGUGAAAUCCCCGGGCUCAACCUGGGAACUGCCUUUGUGACUGCAAGGCUUGAGUGCGGCAGAGGGGGAUGGAAUUCCGCGUGUAGCAGUGAAAUGCGUAGAUAUGCGGAGGAACACCGAUGGCGAAGGCAAUCCCCUGGGCCUGCACUGACGCUCAUGCACGAAAGCGUGGGGAGCAAACAGGAUUAGAUACCCUGGUAGUCCACGCCCUAAACGAUGUCAACUGGUUGUUGGGAAGGUUCCUUCUCAGUAACGUAGCUAACGCGUGAAGUUGACCGCCUGGGGAGUACGGCCGCAAGGUUGAAACUUAAAGGAAUUGAC
rnacentral:rRNA from 1 species